AAUAGAUACCACUGUAGGCAGCGUACGUACGCCGCAAGGUACCCGAAGGGGAUGUUAAGGGUAUACUAGUUGGAAUAGUAGAAUUGCUGUAUUGGUAUAGUUUUAUAAAGGCAGAGCUAUAGAAUAGUUAUAGAAUAAAAAUAAUAUUCUGUUAUAAAGGUAGGCCUAUUAUUAAGAUUAAUUAAUAAUAUUUAAAACAAAAAUGUUAUGCCCUUAGUUUCCGGAAGAAUGUAAUAUGCAGAAAUCGAGAAAGAGAUGAAAAGCAUAUUUCCGCAUGUUUCUAUCCAAACAUUUAAUACAAAUUCAAUUCCCAAAAACCUAAUAUGAUAUGGCGCGGCGUAAGGGUAAGGCGUGACUUUGGUGCGGCGGAGGCUUCGCCCCGCCACCCCACGUCACACCGGAUGUUGUUAAAAUUAAAUGUAAGUAACUACCUAUCAGCACUUCUUUUACUGGAGAUUGAUAGCGUUAGGUGCGGUUAGGUAAUAACAUACAGUGACUUCUAUUCUAUCAUAAGCCUACAAUAUUACUCCAACAGGAUGAUAAUUUUGAAAAGAAAAAUAAGACAGGCUAGAGAUGGUCCAACAAUCAACGGCGGUACUCUACGCUUUUUCUUCGAUCCUGGGUCAUGCUGGUCAUAUUCAAUAGAGACGAUGCUGUCAUCCUGUCACAUGUCUCUGUAUUAUCGUCUGCUCUAACAGCUAUUGAAAUUCUGUCAAAAAGUAACAAGAACUCCGUUUGAUCAAACGCCUGAAUUGAUUGCAGCCAAAUUUUCAGAAUAGAUGUAAAAAAUUUGCAGCCAUCUAUGUUGUGUUACGAGAACUG
rnacentral:lncRNA from 1 species